GGUGGAGAAUAUUCCAUUGCUCAUUGUUGAUCAUCUCAACGGUGUCCGGGCAAGGAUUUAGCAGCAGCUUCAACAAGCUUACUUGACCAUUCUUGGCAGAAAAGUGGAGAGUAAAUAUCGAAAUCUUGACAAAGUGACAGCUAGAUUUACCCAGAUCGCGGCUUAAGACGGCACGGUGCAGCGGUGUUUGGCCAUUGUUUCCUCUAUGAUCAAGAGUGGAUGGAUUUCCAAAUAUGAUGCUGUGAGCAACAUUAGUUAAGCCUAAAUCAAUGGCGACAACAAGCGGAGAUUCCCCGGCAUUGUUGACUAGCCUCAAAGCUUCCUGAUCUCCGUCUACCACUAGCCAUAUAACCAACUUAUGAUUAUUUCUGACAGCACAAUGUAAAGGGGUGUCGCCAUGCUUGUCUCUGACCCUUGCUAUAUCUUCCACAGUAGCCUUGAACAAGAGAAUAACAUCGAACCGUCCGGCCUUUGCGGCUACAUGAAAGGGUGUUUCACCAUUGAGGUUGGUCUUGUGGAUGAGAUUCGGAUGCCAAUUUAUUAUCUGUUCCACCAAAUCUUUGUGUCCGAAUCGUGCAGCCAUGUGAAGAGCAGUGUUGCUUGUGGAGUGAUGGCGUUUAGGAUGUUGGUUUCAGCAUCUACGAGUUGCUUGAUGAGGUUUAAGUUUCCGGUUCUAGCCGCCAUGAGAAAUUGUUGAUCCAUGGCUAUGGGAACCUCUUUGAUUAUGCAAGGAAAGUUGGAAAUUGUAGAGCAGCAAUGGGUUUUAAGUUUCAGCACAAGUCUUUGUUUUUGUUUUUGUUUUUUGUUUAUAUAUAUCAUAUAUGAUAUUCAUAUGAAGAAGAGGUCACAAAUUAAAUUGGUCCUCUUUAAUAUUGACCAUCCAAGUCAACUGACUUCUUCUUCACCGUGGCAUCUAGAAGUUUACUCGAGUAACAUUUUAUAAACUGACUUUUUCUUCUA